rnacentral:lncRNA from 1 species
GGUGUGCGAAGGACGAUCUCCGGUACCAAUUCUACUAUUCCCGUAUUUGCACAUUGAGUGAUCUUUGAUCCAUUUUCAACUUUUGGAAUGGUAAUCCAUAUUGUGUUCAUAUUAUUCCACUUGUAUCUACUUGAGUGCUAUGGAUAGGACAACCAUGUCGAACCCGACUUUUGAGGAGCAAGACGAUGAUGAGAAUAACUACGUCAUCGAACUAUAAUUCUUUGGCGCACAAAAAGGAAUGCGCCAAUCACAAGAUGUUUUGAACGACCGCAUUGAGCAACUCGCCACUGACUUGCGCGAAUUGGAGGUGCGCACGAGGGAUGAUGAGGACAUCAAUACCAUUGUUACACCCACAACCCCUGCUACUAUACAUACGGGACCCAAUACGAGAGCUCGCGCACGCCAAUUGAAUUACUAGUUACUUCCAUUUCUUGAAAAUCCUUCUAAUGUUCAUGAACAUACGAUGCUGCCUAAAUUAGAUACUUUUGUUUUAUUUAUUAAUGAAGGACCCAACAUAGACAAUUAGGAUGACCAUUCGAGCGGAUCAAGCAUGGAGAAGAAGGUGCACAUGCGGGAAAGAACAACGGAGUCUCUAGUGGUGAUUUUGAAGCCUCCAUAUAUAAGGAGAGCAUGGAGGCUUGGAUGAAAUAUACA